rnacentral:lncRNA from 1 species
AUGUAUCAGAAGAUGGCCUAGUUGGCCAUUAUUGGAAAGAGAGGCCCAUUGGUCUUGCAAACUUUUUAUGCCUCAGUACAGGGGAAUGCCAGGGCCAAGAAGUGGGAGUGGGUGGGUAGGGGAGUGGGGGGAAGAUAUGGGGGACUUAUGGGAUAGCAUUUGAAAUGUAAAUGAAGAAAAUACCUAAUUUUAAAAAAAGUAUUCUGCAUGGCAGUGAUGGCUGGACCUACUUCAGAGCCUUCUGGUCCAGAGCUGUAAAGAGAGCGGCAGAGGUUCCAGGGCCUGAACCUAGCCAGUAGGAGCAGGUGGCCUUUGGCAGUGAGGACACCGUGGAGCUGACAUGUAGAGGUGCCCCCACAAGUCCCACAGUCUGGGCUAAGAAUGGUACAGAACUGGUGGUUUCCCACUGCAUCCUGGUGGGCUCUCAGAGGCUUCAGUAUGCAUGUGACAGAUGCUCCAUCCUCAGGAGAUAAUGAAGAUGGGAAGGACCUAACUGAAGACACAGCUGAGGAGCAUGUGUGCGGGUGUCCUCAGCGACUACGGGGUGGGCUUCUUCCUCUUCAUCCUAGUGGUGGCAGCUGUGGUGACGGUCUGCCCAGUCCCCCAAGGCACUUCCCCGCUUAACUGACAGGUGUCCUUGGAAUCUAAUUCCUCUAUGAACUUCAAAUGUAGCCCUUAUCCGGAUUGCUUGGUGUCUUCAGGAGAAGGUCCUAUUAUGGCCAAUGUUUCUGAACUUGAGCUGCCUGCUGACCCCAAGUAGGAACUAUCCAGGACCCAACUGACACUUGGUAAGACUGGGAGAAGGCUGCUUUGGACAGACUGUCAUGGCAGAAGAUACUGUGAAGAUGCUGUUGGACCUGGUAUCUGAGAUGGAGAUGAUGAUCUGCUGGGCCUGCACUGGGUGGGCUCUGUAUGUGCUGGUGGAGUAUGCAGACAAGGCAAUUUUCAAGAGUUCCUUCUGGCAUAAUGGCCUCCAGGCAUGGACUGCAGGCUGCCAGGAGAACAGCUUACCUGCAAGGAUCUAGUGUUCUGUGCCUACCAGGUAACAUGGAGCACAGAAUACUUGGCUUCCCAGAAGUGUAUUCAGAGACUUGGCUGCCAGAAAUGUCCUGGUUACCUCGGACAAUGUGAUGAAGAUUACAGACUUUGGCCUGGCCCAAGACGUGCACAACCUGGAUUACUACAAGAAGACCACAAGUGGCCUGCUACCUGUGAAGUGGAUGGAAUCAGAGGCCCUUUUUUACAGAGUCUUCACCCACCAGAGUGAUGUCUGGUUCUUUGGUGUCCUCCGCUAGGACAUCUCACCGUAUCCUGGCAUCCCAGUGGAAGAGCUUUUCAAGCUACUUACAGAGGGCCACUGCAUGGACAAGCCCCACAACUGCACACGUGGCCUGUACAUGGUCACGUGGGGAUAUUGGCAUGCAGUGUCUUCAGAGGCCCACCUUCAAGCAGUAGGUAGAGGAUUUAGACCGCAUCCUCACUGUGACAUCAACUGACAAGUACUUGGACCUCUCCGUGCCAUUUGAGCAGUCCUCUCCAGGUGGUUGGGACACUCCUAGCUCCAGCCUGUCCAGGGAUGACAGGGUGUUCACCCAUGAGUUGCUACCCCCACCCAAUAAUGGGGGACCUCGGAUGUGAAAGGCCUGCAGUCCCACAGACCAAGCCCCAGCCAAUGUUUCUGUGGACCCUAACCCGCCCUGCUACUGCUGGUGUGCAGUGGACCCUAGCCAGCCCAGUGCAAUGGGUCAACAAUAGACAAGACUUCCUGCAUGUUUAUCCUUAGCUCCUGGGUGCAGAGGCCCCUGCCCCUUGGGAACAUGCACUGCUGUAUAGUGAUCUCCUGAGUGGCCAGGGCCAGGAAGACCAAAUGAGAACGUUAAGAGGCCCACCCUGUGCAACCCUGGGGUUCUGGCCCUCUCAUUUCUCACUGCUACCUUACAGGGACCAUUGUAGAGAGUGGGCCUUGGCCUCUUUGGUGCCCCAAGCUGAGCUUGCAGGGAGGCUCUGCUCUGUGUGGCAAGCCUCUCUCCUACAUGGCACCUUAUAUCUAGGGGGUGUCAUAGCUCGACAUCUCCAGGCUGCCUGCUUCCCACCCUGCCUCUCAGACACAAAUUACAGGUACCUGAAAAAGGGGGGGGGGAGAUAAUGUCUAUCAGAAAGGUGUAUUCCAGAGGAAAAUGUAUAUUUAUAUAAAUAGAUGUUGUGUAACACACACACACACACAUCUAUAUGAAAAAAGGCAAAGCUGAAGCCCAAGGGAGCAAGAUACUCCAUGGGGCUCACUAGUAAACUGGCAAGAACAGGCUGAGAAGCAAGGGACUUUUCUGGCAUGGCAGUUUUGUUUGUACUGGACCUGUAUAUUUGUAAAGCUAUAUUUAUCAACUCCCAGAGCUCCAGUCCCCAACCUCAGGGUACAGCAUUUAGUCCCAGGGUAUUUCAGACAUUUUAAGUUGUAACUUAUUAACAGUGAAAGAGGUUCAUGCUGGAUUUAGGGAGUUGCUGAGACCGUGAGUCUGGCCUCUGCCAGGCUGGACAUAGCCCCUUGGCGCAUGAGCAGCUAGCUCUCCUAGUUAGUAAUGGCGCCAGAGAGCGUUUCCUGUUGCCUUCGGCCCUCUUUUGUGAGGGAUUAGAUUUAUAUAGGAACUUUCUUUAGGAGAUGUUUAAAAAUUUCAAGGUGAACUGGUAUUUUUCAUACAGAUUAUUCUAAUUGCUAUGUAUUCCAGGC